rnacentral:rRNA from 1 species
GACGAACGCUGGCGGCGUGCUUAACACAUGCAAGUCGAACGGAAAGGCCCUGCUUUUGUGGGGUGCUCGAGUGGCGAACGGGUGAGUAACACGUGAGUAACCUGCCCCUGACUUUGGGAUAACUUCAGGAAACUGGGGCUAAUACCGGAUAGGAGCUCCUGCUGCAUGGUGGGGGUUGGAAAGUUUCGGCGGUUGGGGAUGGACUCGCGGCUUAUCAGCUUGUUGGUGGGGUAGUGGCUUACCAAGGCUUUGACGGGUAGCCGGCCUGAGAGGGUGACCGGCCACAUUACGACUGAGAUACGGCCCAGACUCGAACCGGAGGCAGCGGGGGGGAAUAUUGCACAAUGGGCGGAAGCCUGAUGCGGCACCGCCGCGUGCGGGAUGACGGCCUUCGGGUUGUAAACCGCUUUCGCCUGUGACGAAGAGUGAGUGACGGUAAUGGGUAAAGAAGCACCGGCUAACUACGUG